GAUGAACGCUAGCGGCAGGCCUAACACAUGCAAGUCGAGGGGUAACAUAGAGAGCUUGCUUUCUGAUGACGACCGGCGCACGGGUGCGUAACGCGUAUAGAAUCUACCUUGUACUGAGGGAUAGCCUUUGGAAACGAAGAUUAACACCUCAUGGUAUCAUAAAAUCGCCUGAUUUAAUGAUUAAAGGUUACGGUAUAAGAUGACUAUGCGUCCUAUUAGCUAGAUGGUAAGGUAACGGCUUACCAUGGCCACGAUAGGUAGGGGCCCUGAGAGGGGGAUCCCCCACACUGGUACUGAGACACGGACCAGACUCCUACGGGAGGCAGCAGUGAGGAAUAUUGGACAAUGGAGGGAACUCUGAUCCAGCCAUGCCGCGUGCAGGAAGACUGCCCUAUGGGUUGUAAACUGCUUUUAUACAGGAAGAAACCUCCCGACGUGUCGGGACUUGACGGUACUGUAAGAAUAAGGAUCGGCUAACUCCG
rnacentral:rRNA from 1 species